AUUGAACGCUGGCGGCAUGCUUUACACAUGCAAGUCGAACGGUAACAGGCCGCAAGGUGCUGACGAGUGGCGAACGGGUGAGUAAUACAUCGGAACGUGCCCAGUCGUGGGGGAUAACGCAGCGAAAGCUGCGCUAAUACCGCAUACGAUCUACGGAUGAAAGCGGGGGACCGUAAGGCCUCGCGCGAUUGGAGCGGCCGAUGUCAGAUUAGGUAGUUGGUGGGGUAAAGGCUCACCAAGCCGACGAUCUGUAGCUGGUCUGAGAGGACGACCAGCCACACUGGGACUGAGACACGGCCCAGACUCCUACGGGAGGCAGCAGUGGGGAAUUUUGGACAAUGGGCGCAAGCCUGAUCCAGCAAUGCCGCGUGCAGGAAGAAGGCCUUCGGGUUGUAAACUGCUUUUGUACGGAACGAAACGGUCCUGGUUAAUACCCGGGGCUAAUGACGGUACCGUAAGAAUAAGCACCGGCUAACUACGUGCCAGCCGCCGCAGUAACAC
rnacentral:rRNA from 1 species